UGCGGAAGGAUCAUUAAAAGAGACGUUGCCCUUCGGGGUAUACCUCCCACCCUUUGUUUAUUUAUACCUUUGUUGCUUUGGCAGACCCGGCUUCGGCCCACCGGCUCCGGCUGGUCAGUGUCUGCCAGAGGACCUAAAACUCUGUUUGUUAAUAUUGUCUGAGUACUAUAUAAUAGUUAAAACUUUCAACAACGGAUCUCUUGGUUCUGGCAUCGAUGAAGAACGCAGCGAAAUGCGAUAAGUAAUGUGAAUUGCAGAAUUCAGUGAAUCAUCGAAUCUUUGAACGCACAUUGCGCCCUCUGGUAUUCCGGGGGGCAUGCCUGUUCGAGCGUCAUUACAACCCUCAAGCUUUGCUUGGUAUUGGACAUUGCCAGUUUCUGGCAGGUCUUAAAAUCAGUGGCGGUGCCAUUUGGCUUCAAGCGUAGUAAUUCUUCUCGCUUUGGAGAUCCAGGUGGUUACUUGCCAAAUAAACCCCCAAUUUUUUCAGGGUUGACCUCGGAU
rnacentral:rRNA from 1 species